rnacentral:rRNA from 1 species
CCUACGGGAGGCAGCAGUGGGGAAUAUUGCACAAUGGGCGAAAGCCUGAUGCAGCAACGCCGCGUGGGGGAUGACGGCCUUCGGGUUGUAAACCUCUUUUAGCAGGGAAGAAGCGAAAGUGACGGUACCUGCAGAAAAAGCACCGGCUAACUACGUGCCAGCAGCCGCGGUAAUACGUAGGGUGCAAGCGUUGUCCGGAAUUAUUGGGCGUAAAGAGCUCGUAGGCGGUUGGUCGCGUCUGCUGUGAAAACCCGAGGCUCAACCUCGGGCCUGCAGUGGGUACGGGCCAACUAGAGUGCGGUAGGGGAGAUCGGAAUUCCUGGUGUAGCGGUGGAAUGCGCAGAUAUCAGGAGGAACACCAAUGGCGAAGGCAGAUCUCUGGGCCGUAACUGACGCUGAGGAGCGAAAGCGUGGGGAGCGAACAGGAUUAGAUACCCUGGUAGUC